rnacentral:rRNA from 1 species
UACGAAGGGUGCGAGCGUUGUCCGGAAUCACUGGGCGUAAAGGGCGCGUAGGCGGCUCAGUAAGGUUGCGGUGAAAGCCCGGGGCUCAACCCCGGGUCGGCCGUGGCAACUGCUGGGCUGGAGCACUGUAGAGGCAGGUGGAAUUCCGGGUGUAGCGGUGGAAUGCGUAGAGAUCCGGAAGAACACCGGUGGCGAAGGCGGCCUGACUGGGCAGUGCUGGACGCUGAGGCGCGA